rnacentral:ncRNA from 1 species
AUCGAUAAAAUGAUAACAGGUGCCCAUAAGGGAGAAUAGGGAAUCAGGUGUAAAUCAUUGAGCGGUCCCGCCACUGUAACCAGGGAUAAACCUGCAGGAUACCACCAGACCGGCUUAACCGGCCUGGGAAGGUGCAGGGGAGGAUGAACUGGAAGCCAGGAGACCUGCCUGUUGUCACGAGCUAAA